GGACUCGUCGUGUGGUCAUGCCCAAGGGUUUUGCACGAUACGACGGGUCCAUCCUCGAGAUGAACGGGAUACAUUUCGGUGUGUUUCCGCGAACUCGUCAUUUACUGUGAGCAAAACAGAGUGUUCAAAGCAGGCUUACGCCGUUGAAUACAUUAGCAUGGAAUAAUAAAAUAGGACGGCAUGGUUCUAUUUUGUUGGUUUCUAGGAUCACCGUA
rnacentral:rRNA from 1 species